rnacentral:rRNA from 1 species
CCUACGGGUGGCAGCAGUGGGGAAUAUUGGGCAAUGGGCGCAAGCCUGACCCAGCAACGCCGCGUGAAGGAAGAAGGCCUUCGGGUUGUAAACUUCUUUUCUCAGGGACGAAGCAAGUGACGGUACCUGAUGAAUAAGCCACGGCUAACUACGUGCCAGCAGCAGCGGUAUUACGUAGGUGGCAAGCGUUCUCCGGAUUUACUGGGUGUAAAGGGCGUGUAGGCGGGACUGCAAGUCAGAUGUGAAAACCACGGACUCAACCGGUGGCCUGGAGUUGAAACUGUAGUUCUUGAGUACUGGAGAGGCAGGCGGAAUUCCUGGUGUAGCGGUGAAAUGCGUAGAUAUUAGGAGGAACACCAGUGGCGAAGGCGGUCUGCUGGAGAGCAACUGACGCUGAGGCGCGAAAGCGUGGGGAGCAAACAGGAUUAGAUACCCUUGUAGUC